GAAACACCUUUCCCUCACUACCUCCAUCUUCCCAGUUGGGAUUAGCUUGGGACUAGGAGAGACUUCUCUCUGCUGGAAAAAGGCUGCAAUAGUUUUGUAAGACCUCAAGUCCACAAACCUGACUCCACAGCUACUCCAAGCACCUAUGUCCUGGAUUGCAGCGCCACUGUGGCUACCUAUGACCCACGGAAGACUCAGCACCAACAGAGAUCCCCUCAACUAAGAUUUCCCACUGUGAGGAACUCUUAGCAAAUCUGUUAACCAAAGAGGAUUCUUA
rnacentral:lncRNA from 1 species